CAACCCUCAAGCUCUGCUUGGUCUUGGGCCCCGCCGGCGACGGCAGGCCUCAAAAACAGUGGCGGCGCCGUCCGGUCCCUCAGCGUAGUAAUUCUUCUCGCUGCUGGGCCCGGGUGGCCGCUGGCCAGGAACCCCAAACUUUCUAU
rnacentral:misc_RNA from 2 species